AUCGCGGGGUGCGAGAGCACAAUGAGGAAAGUCCGAGCAUCACAGAGCAGGGUAGCUGAUAACAUCAGCCGAGGGCGACCUUAGGGCUAGUGCAACAGAGAUAUACCGCAGCUUUAUGCUGUAAGGGUGGAAAGGCGAGGUAAGAGCUCACCGGAAUCCGGGAGACCGGAUUGCCAUGUAAACCCUAUCCGAUGCAACACCGAUUGGUGCGGAGAAUAACACGCCUGCUCGGCGUGCUUCGCUUAAGGUGGCUUGAUCCUGCCGGCGACGGCAGGGCUAGAUAGAUGAUCAUACACGACAGAACUCGGCUUAUCGA
rnacentral:RNase_P_RNA from 1 species